UUUUAUAUUCCCAGGUAGGAUGAGAUCAGGUGAAGGCCAGCUUGUGGAUAUGAAUUCCAAGAUAAAUCAUGUGUGUCUCUGAAGGACGAUGCAAAAGGGAAUUUUUCCAAUGGAUACACCCUUAGCAUAAACAUUGCCUGGAAGAAGGAACCAGGACCACUGAGAUACCACCUGAGUACAAAGGGAACGUGGAGGAAGAAAGUCAUCCAUACCAAAGGUAAUCU